AUGGCCUCCCUUACCACCAUCACCGCUCCACAUCUGUCCCCAGCCUUGACACGACGGCGCAACGCCGCCGUGCCUAGGCGAAGACCCUCCUUCCGCUGCCAAAACCGCCCCCCGACCGAGCCGCCGAUCGGCGGCGACGGAGGAGGAGGAGGAAAGAAGAGGGCGUGGUGGGUGACCAUGGCCGAGAGGGCGCACAGCGGCGUGGUGAAGGCGGGGAUGGACGUGCGGGAGAGCCUGAGCCCGAAGCAGAAGGGGGACUGGAAGGACGUGGCGCUCAUGAGCCUCUCCUUCGCCGUCUACGUCUACAUCUCCCAGAAGAUCGUGUGCACAUACUGCGCCUGGGUCUCCAUGAUGAAUCACUAG
rnacentral:rRNA from 1 species